ACCUGGCUGGCUCAGUCAGUAGAGCAUGGGACUCUUGAUCUUAUGGUUUUGAGUUCCAACCUCACGUUAGGCA
rnacentral:tRNA from 1 species